AUUUUACUCUGUAUCCAGAGUAAGGUUUACUGACUUGGCGAGAGUGGGUUGGAAGCCAUCUUUCUUUUGCUGGCCGUUUUGUUUACAAACAUUACCGUGCAGCAGAAAAAAGCAAAAUAAAUUUCAUCCGCAACAAGAUAAAACUGCAGUGGAAAGAAAUCGAAAUACAUAAUGCGUUGGUGCUGUGCGGUCAGCAGAUGCACAAAUAAAAAAUCAUCCACCAAGGAAAAUCCUGGCAUCAUAUACCACAGAUUUCCAGCAGAUAAAGCAAGAAGAGCGAAAUGGGUGAGUUUUUGCGGACGUGGGGAAACGUAGACCCCUGUACCGAGUCAAGGAAUUUGUUCCAGACACUUUCAUGCUACCAGUUACGAUUCAAACGUGAAACAUCGUCGGCAGCUCAUUUCAAACGCGAUUCCAGUGCUUAAUCCAUCAUCCGAUCUCGGUCAACAACAGCGGCCAAUUUUUCAACAUCCGAGGGGCAAGUUGCAACCAAGUGAUAAUUAUAAUGCACAUCCAGAGGAAUCCAUUCGCGCUCGAGCCAAUCUGUCUGGAGAACUUAAACAGAACCAGCCCACUAUGCAAAAUACUGCUCCACAACGAAAGGCACCCUCCUCCCAGAACAACAACCAGCAAAAACAAUUUUCUCAUCCCUUAUCCGAGGCUUCUGCAUUGUUUACAUUGCCUGCUCAGCAUAUAACUCCAGUUUCGUCGCAUCAGCACAGUUCAGUUUCACAGCAUUCAACUCAAGUAUGACCUCAAGAACAUGUUGCAGUAUCCAGCCACUAUCAACAUCAUAAUAUGAUUUCAAAAGGACACAUGUUUAUGGAUAACUUCCAGAUCCUGAGCGUAAUUCCUUCUUUUGAUGAAAAUCUUAGCUUUUUGGAAGAAACUAUUGUUGCCGACGACUCAGCUCUCGGUUCCGAAAAUAGCUUGGAGACGUCUCUUAUUUGUUAUCCGGUGGCCUCCGAUCCAGUGAAUUCGUUUGGAAAAUCCGACCAGAAUUACCACACUUCUUCGGUGACCGUUUGUGGUACGUAUUCGAUCCAUAUGGAUUUCUGUUGGUGGUGGCUUAUUGUAUAAAAGUUUCAAAAUUUCAGAACCUGAAUGUUUUUAACGCAAUAUACAUUUUUGAUGACAUAAACAAUGUUGUCAGACGAGCAGUAUGUUUAUAAGCUAGGUGUUAAACGGGACAAAUCAACGAACUGUCUUGAUUGUGAAUCUUAUAAAUUUGCCAAAUUCAACUAAUUUCGCGGCAUUUCACGGGAUUUCAUAAAUUUCGCGGCAAAGGCCAAAUUUCGCGGAAUUCGCGGCUUCCGCGAAAUCGCGAAUUUCCAUUGUCCCUAUUGAUAAGUAUCCUCUGGCUUGCUUUUCAUCUAUCGAUUAGAGUUCAAUUCCCAAUCAAAAAGGUUUUGACGUUAACUACGUCUUACGGCAAUAUACUGGGUGUCAAUCGAAAAUCUAAAAUGUUGCGACCGUCACGA
rnacentral:lncRNA from 11 species